UACGUAGGGGGCAAGCGUUGUCCGGAUUUAUUGGGCGUAAAGAGCGUGUAGGCGGCCAUACAGGUCAGCUGUGAAAACUCGAGGCUCAACCUCGAGACGUCGGUUGAAACCGCAUGGCUAGAGUCCGGAAGAGGAGAGUGGAAUUCCCGGUGUAGCGGUGAAAUGCGCAGAUAUCGGGAAGAACACCUAUGGCGAAGGCAGCUCUCUGGGACGGUACCGACGCUGAGACGCGAAAGCGUGGGGAGCAAACAGG
rnacentral:rRNA from 1 species